AGCUGGAACUCCUGCCUGUGGCGCGUGUCCCCAGGGCCCUGGCUGUGCUGCCGCCUCCCUGCCUCCCCCAGCACAGCCAAGACAGCAGUGCAGGGAGAGGAGAUGGCUGGCUACCUGGCCAACCGUUGUUUCUGGUAUUUGCCAGUCUUUUGUGAGCUACCGUGCCUUUAUAAACUAUAACGGAGGACUUGCAGAAAGCAUGGAGGCAGGGGGAGUCAGAGAUAGCUAAGCAACACUUAAAUGGUUCCUGUUUAAACAACUGGCAUUCUUUUAAAAAGCUUGGCUACAAUAUCUGCUUCCUUUAACUUUGCCACCAGUGAUUGCCUUUAGCAAACUGGGGAAACCAAACUGGACUUUUUUCUUAACGGUCCAUUUAAGCUUUGAUUACUGGUUGUUAAGCUCUCAAUCCACUAACAUUCAAAAAAAUAUUACAAAUGUGUCUCUCCCUCUGCUAGGACUGAAACUUCCAGUGAGGAUUUACGGACUCUUCUUGGUUUGUAUCAGAGACAGGCUUUCAAGGGAUCAGUCUAAACACGAGGGCUCCUGUAUAACUUAGACACCCUAUGAAAUCAGAGACUGAGAUUUUCCAUCUGGCUCUGAAGUGGUGCUGUACCACCUGGUUAAGGUUCGUUUGGUCAAAGGGAGCUGUGCACUGAAGAGUAAUCAGUAAAGACCCAGUGUGAGGGUAGAUCAUUCUGUGGAGUUGUUUUUUUGUUUGUUUGCUUUCCAAUUUUGUAGCCCCAUAGCAGUAUGUGUAGCAGUAUCCUCAAGCAAAGAGCCUUCUAAAGGUGUUUCAGCAGGUUUGGAUGAACAAAUUGAAUUCAGCAUUUGUUCCAGGGCUUUAAAAACAAUCAGAAAUUUUGUAGUCCAAGUGCUAAUUAGACUGAUGUGUGCCUGUUUUAUCAUGUUAUUCCUGCAAAACCAGGUAACUGAGCUGUGCAAUGUUUCAUCCAUUUGGAGCCCUCAGUUUUCUGAGUUAAACACAGCUUACCGAUGUGGAUUUGGGAUGAUCUUGGUCACUUCUUUCUGA
rnacentral:lncRNA from 1 species